AUAAAUGCUAUGAAAAAGGAAAGUAGUGUAUUGGAGGGUUACAGAGAGAAAGCGAUGCUGAGAAGCUUUCACCUAUAAGAUAUAUGAAGUGCCCUUUGGAGCAUGGAUCCGAAAUGGAGUUACACAAUAGUUGAGUAACUUAAAAGUAGGAGACCACGGGUUCGCCCGUUAAAGCGAUAGGGCAUUAUUAUGUGCUUGAAGAUAAAGUGAGAUUCUUUUUGAAUCUAAUUAGGGUGGAACCACGGAGUAAACAUAGCUUCGUCUCUAGA
rnacentral:ncRNA from 1 species